GCCAUACCAUGUUGAAUAUAUUCUCAUUCGAUCACCGAAGUGAAGCAUCUUUGGGCUCAAUCAGUACAAGGGAGGGCGACCACUUGGAAUAUCGCGUGUCGUU